rnacentral:rRNA from 1 species
AACGAACGCUGGCGGCAUGCCUAACACAUGCAAGUCGAACGAGACCUUCGGGUCUAGUGGCGCACGGGUGCGUAACGCGUGGGAACCUGCCCUUAGGUUCGGAAUAACUCCCCGAAAGGUGUGCUAAUACCGGAUAAUGUCUUCGGACCAAAGAUUUAUCGCCUUUGGAUGGGCCCGCGUUGGAUUAGCUAGUUGGUAGGGUAAAAGCCUACCAAGGCGACGAUCCAUAGCUGGUCGGAGAGGAUGAUCAGCCACACUGGGACUGAGACACGGACCAGACUCGUACGGGAGGCAGCAGUGGGGAGUAUUGGACAAUGGGCGAAAGCCUGAUCCAGCAAUGCCGCGUGAGUGAUGAAGGCCUUAGGGUUGUAAAGCUCUUUUAGCCGGGAUGAGAAUGACAGUACCGGGAGAAUAAGCUCCGGCUAACUACGUG